CGUUUCCUAAGAAAAACUUUUUAGGAAAACUGUAUUACUCAGAGGUUUUUGAGAAGAAGUCUCUUAUGUUCACCAAGGCUGCUUUGUUUGAUCAAACUACAGAAAAAUCUGUUAUAUUGUAAAACAAUAUUGCAAUUCAAAAUAACAGUUAAAUGCUUGAAUAUAUUUUAAAAAGUAAUUUAUUCUCAAUCUUCAAUAAAAAAAUGUACAUCUUCUGGAUCUUCAAUAAAAAAUCUGAAUUUUCAUCAUCAUUACUCCAGUCUUCAGUGUCACGUGAUCAUUCUAGAGAAAGCAUUCUAAUAUGCUGAUUUGCUGCUGAAGGCACGUGUAUUAUUAUUAUCUAUGCUAACAACAGUAUUUUGUGGAAACCAUGAUCAUUUUUUUUCAGGAUACUUUGAUGAUAGAAAGAACAGCUUUUAUUUGAAAUAGAUGCAGAGAACCUUUGUUUCAAACUGGUAUCUUGGCAAAUCUAAGCCAAGUUUGAGCCAUUUAUUCUCAGCUUAAUCUCAUUCUGCGAGAAACAGCUGAAAUAUUAAAGAGACCUCAUGUGACCUCUCUCUCUGUCUCAGCAGGUCUCGUUCUGCUUUGGGUUCGGCUCGUCAGGCUUCUUUCUCCCCUGCCAGAGUGACCACAUCCACUCUCUCCCCAGACUCCACCUCCCCAUUAUUGUCCAAUCACCCGCCCUGCUGCCCUCCAACACCUGCCACAACCAACCAAUCAGCCACUGUCAGUCUGUUGCCAGGCAACAACCAAUCCACUCCAGACUCUAGCACUGAUGUUCCCACCCAGGCCACUGUUAACAAGAAGGCAAAGUCUCGUCUGCUGGACAAAGACAGCCGGAACAAGAACCGUCUGAGUCACACAUCAGCUCCUCUGUUCGUCAGUAAAGGAAAACGGCCGCCUCAGCCUCCAGAGCUGAGCGGAGCAACCAAACGCUUGCCUGGUGGACAACAGCCACCGUCCCGGAGGCAGCGCAGUAUCAACACACAGGGUACACACACACACACACACACACACACACACACACACACACACACACACAUAUAUAUACAGUACAGACCUAAAAGUUAGGAAACAUUACUUAUUUUUAUUGUUUUAGAAAGAAGUCUCUUCUGGGUAUUA
rnacentral:lncRNA from 1 species